CGGAACAACCACGAGGUUAGUCGGGGCCUUGGUUAAUCUUCCAGGUUUUUCUUCGUCAUCCCCUGGGAUACUGAUUGUAUCACGUGUGCUAUAUUUGUCCUGGUGACAUUUACAACUGAAGAAAACCAAGGACCACGUGUUGGUGCAUAAAACAAUGAAACAUAUGAAAAUCUCCUAGCGCCCUAAAUUAUAAAUACGGAAGGAUUCAACAUAAUAUAAAUUACGACGACGACAAAUAUAUAUCUGUUAAACUGGAGGAUUUAAAAAAGAAUUUCUAGAAGCGACGCCAUAAUGCUGUUUUUGAAAUUUAUGCAAGCUACGAAUUGAAGUCAUUGACGAUGGGACAAAGGAGGUGCCCAGAAUGUUUUAGUUUUCUCACGACAUAUGAGUGAUCAAAGAGAAUCUGAUGUGAAGACAUGAAUGAUGGUACAAAGGAGGUCCCCAGAAUGUUUUAAUUUUCUCAUCACAUAUGAGUGAUCAAAAAGAAUCUGGUAUGAAAGAAGUGAAACCAAAGGUAUUAUUACAAGAUGCUCUAAAAUAAAAAAGGUUCAAUACGGAUUUUCUACAACCACUGUCACAAGAAGAUUAAGGAUGAAGUCCAUUCUAUAUAUUGCUUCAAAGAAAUAUCAAGUACAGCCAAUGUAAAGAAGAAUAUAUUAAGCUUUAUUUACAUAAGAUUGGUGCAGUGGUAGUGUAUUUAUACUGCGGUGGUAGCGGUAAUUUUUAAAUAAGUUUUCGCAGUAGGCAGUAUGGUAUUAUUUUUUUAGGCAUGUGCCAGAGGUAGUAUUAACAAAUCACGUUGUUAAUGUUGAAUAUAAUUACUUUUUAUUUCUUCAUCUUGUUUAGUUUAAAAUAGUCAGACACAGAAUAUAAACAAAAUUUUGAGUUAUCUUGUAAAUAAAUAACAUUAAAUAAACAUGUACGAACACGGUGCUUAAUGCCCUUGUGUGAAAAGCUAGCUGGGUUUCGAACUACGAGUACCCACCAGCGAAGAAUCGCUACUAACACCAAUUUUCUGCACUACACACACACACAAAUACACUUCAACUGCACUAACGUUUAUGUGAAUGAGCUAUUAGUAUCUGUGUACUAGAUAUUAAAAAUCAAUCAUUUAAAUUUAAAAAUUAAAAUAAUAAGUAGUCAUGUAUGUUACUUAAAAUAGGUAAUAUUUUAAGCAACAAGUAUAAAUUGCCAUUUAUGUUAUGUAAAUUAUAUUAAAAUUUAGAUAUUA